rnacentral:lncRNA from 1 species
UCUUAAGAAGUGCAUCAAGCCUCUGAUUUGCUGCUGACAAAUUGUCUGCUCGUCAGAGAAAAAGGCCAGGAAACCCAAGUGAUUACCUCUGCCAGCAUGACUCCCCCACCCCUCAGCCUGGUAGACCCAGCCUUGGAAAUGAAACAAAGGCUGCCUUGCGGCUAGUCCAAAUUGUCACCAUCGCCUUGGCUGGUCUUGCCACCUCCAGCUUCUUCCCCACUAACGCAGAAGAAUACUCCAAAGGCCCCUGCGGUGUUCAUCCCCCAUCCGCAUGGACACCCCGGGGCACUCGAGGCCUGUUAUGCCUCGGUCCCUCCUGGCCACUAGCGUUGAUUGUUUCCUGCCCCAUUGCCCACCCCUCACACUGUCCCUCAGGUCCCAGGCCCCAAGCCUGGCCUGCCUGCUCACACCUACCCUCCCUUGCCCAUGUCAGUCCCCCUGACCAGGCUGUCCAUCCCCUCUGAUCUUCGCUUCACUCCUUCCAGACUUAGCUCAGGCCUCCUUUGGCUGUCUGGACCUGGCUCCAGCCUCCUGUCCGCCAACAUCGUGUCAGGGACUAAACAAAGGCUUGGGAGUCCCAAGAUGUGGUCCCACUCUUGGCUCUGGCUUUAGACAUGUUUCUGAGACUCAGUUUCCCCAACUGUAAAAGAUGGCUGCCUACCUUGCACAGUUGUUCUAGGAUUAACAGAGCAUGUUUAUUAAGUGCCUGACACACAGUCAGUCCUCAGGCAUUAGAGCUAUCGUUAUUGUUACAAUAGUUUAACCUCUCUGAAAUUCAGGCAUUGGUAACUAUUCUAACUCGCCAUGAGGAUCAUGUAAACUGAUGUGUAUGAAACUUCUGUAAAUUGACAAGCCUUUACAUAAAGCUAAUUAUUAUUUGUAUCUCUGUUAAGGU